CCUUAUUAAGCAACAAGGAGCAGGUAUCAGGCACAACUAUUUAGCCCAAAACACCUUGCUACGCCACACCCACACGGGCACCCAGCAGUAAUAAACAUUAAGCAAUGAGUGAAAGCCUACCCAAGCUCGACUUAGUUAUGAUCAUUAGGGCCGGUAAACCUCGUGCCAGCCACCGCGGUUAUACGAGGGGCCCAAAACAACAGAUAUCGGCGUAAAUUGUGGCUAGAGCACCUCUUACAACACUGAAAGACAAACGAAAGCCUGAUCGUAAAACCUAGGCCAAGAGAAACACAAACUUUCAAUUAUAAAGCAACUUGAACCCACGAAGACUAAGAAACAAACUAGGAUUAGAUACCCUACUAUGCUUAGUUGUUAAUAUGACACCAAAAAACACUAUUGUCCGCCAGAGAAUUACACGCGAAAAGCUUAAAACUCAAAGGACUUGGCGGUGCUCCGUAUUCGUCUUAGAGGAGCCUGUCCUAUAAUCGAUAACCCACGCUUUACCUUACCAUCUUUUGUUAAACAGCCUAUAUACCGCCGUCGCAAACUUACCCCAUGAGGGCACAACAGUAAGUAAAAUAGUAACACACUAACACGUCAGGUCAAGGUGUAGCUAAUAAGAUGGAAGAGAUGGGCUACAUUUUCUAAAACAGAACACAC
rnacentral:rRNA from 1 species